AGAACGAACGCUGGCGGCAUGCCUAAUACAUGCAAGUCGAACGAACACUUCGGUGUUAGUGGCGCACGGGUGCGUAACGCGUGGGAAUCUGCCCUUGGGUUCGGAAUAACAGUUGGAAACGACUGCUAAUACCGGAUGAUAUCGAAAGAUCAAAGAUUUAUCGCCCAGGGAUGAGCCCGCGUAGGAUUAGCUAGUUGGUGAGGUAAAGGCUCACCAAGGCGACGAUCCUUAGCUGGUCUGAGAGGAUGAUCAGCCACACUGGGACUGAGACACGGCCCAGACUCCACGGGAGCAGCAGUAGGGAAUAGUUAGGACAAGUGGGCGACAAGCCUGAUCCAGCAAGUGCCGCGUGAGUGAGUGAAGUCCGUUAGGGUAGUAAAGCUU
rnacentral:rRNA from 1 species